rnacentral:lncRNA from 1 species
AGAGCCAAACACCAGGCUCACUAGAUGAUCAAAGAAGACUAACACCUCUCAUACAAGAGAAAAGAAAUAUCGACCCAAUCCAGAUAUUCUCCAAAAAGGGGUAGAGUAUCUUAUCCUAACUUUCAACACUACGUUGUCUGCAGCCAACGUAAUUAUCAAAAGAAAGGUAAGGUACCCACUGAUCCGAUGCCAACAACAAGUUGGAGACGAGACACAAGAACCAAUCGACCAAUAACCCUAUAA